rnacentral:rRNA from 1 species
AAUGCCGCGUGAGUGAAGAAGGCCUUCGGGUUGUAAAGCUCUUUUGUCAGGGAAGAAACGGUGUGGGCUAAUAUCUCGUGCUAAUGACGGUACCUGAAGAAUAAGCACCGGCUAACUACGUGCCAGCAGCCGCGGUAAUACGUAGGGUGCAAGCGUUAAUCGGAAUUACUGGGCGUAAAGCGUGCGCAGGCGGUUUUGUAAGACUGUCGUGAAAUCCCCGGGCUCAACCUGGGAAUGGCGAUGGUGACUGCAAGGCUAGAGUUUGGCAGAGGGGGGUAGAAUUCCACGUGUAGCAGUGAAAUGCGUAGAUAUGUGGAGGAACACCGAUGGCGAAGGCAGCCCCCUGGGUCAAAACUGACGCUCAUGCACGAAAGCGUGGGGAGCAAACAGGAUUAGAUACCCUGGUAGUCCACGCCCUAAACGAUGUCUACUAGUUGUCGGGUUUUAAUUAACUUGGUAACGCAGCUAACGCGUGAAGUAGACCGCCUGGGGAGUACGGUCGCAAGAUUAAAACUCAAAGGAAUUGACGGGGACCCGCACAAGCGGUGGAUGAUGUGGAUUAAUUCGAUGCAACGCGAAAAACCUUACCUACCCUUGACAUGGAUGGAAUCCCGAAGAGAUUUG